GCUGCAUUAGCUCAGGGGUAGAGCGCGUCCUUGGUAAGGACGAGGCCCGCGGUUCGAGACCGCGAUGCAGCACCA
rnacentral:tRNA from 1 species